AAAAAAAAAAAAAAAAAACAACAAAGAAAGGCCCCAGGCUAUGGCAGGGUGGACCCAAGACUGUUACUUGCUGUAUGUGGACACCUAAAGGCCCCCAGAACCAUCCAUCCUCAUCAUAGAAACUGGACGUUCUGAUCUUACACGAUUGUUUCAGCCCCCUCCCCACACAUGCCGACUGCCCUCAGUGUCUGCUUCCUUAAGCCUGCUUCCAUUUUAGCUAUUAGCGAGGGUUUUGCAUCUCGUUGCCUGCCAGCAUAUUAUGUGCAUCUCAUUAACUCUGAAGGCUCCACUACCCUUUAGGGACCAGACCUUCACAGACGUAAUGGCCUUCUGCCUGAGGUUUGAGUUUGCUGUUACUCUUUCUACCUUGGCUGAGGAAUGUCAGCCCAUGGAUUUCUAAUAAGUUCACAAAUUGCUCUAUGAAAUUGAGGUGAGAAAAAUGUCACAUUCUUUUUUUUUUUAAUUUUUAAAAAUCAAAUCUGGCUUGGAGCCCCCACUUAACCAUUCUCAGCAGAAGUCCGACUCCAGUCAUUGUGAUUUACUCACAGGCAGGGGAUGGGGGUUUUGGUGAGAGGCUUCCCCUCCUUCAGGUUGCACCAACACCCUGCUGCUGAAGCAGGUCAGGAGAGCGGGGUGAGCACUACGUCAUCAGGGCAUCCUGAUCACUCUUUCCCCGGGCUCCUUCUGCGACACAGUGAAGACUCUAAACACUGUCUGGUGCUGUCGUCAGGCCCUGCCCUCCACAGGCAGAGUCUUUUCUAGUGUGCCCAGGCUUUGUUCCGGGGACCUCCAGGCCUCAGUGUCCAUCCACCACAGGCAUCCCUCACAGUUGCCUGACACGAGGUCCUGCCCUCUGUGGGCACUGUGAGCUGGAUGUCGUGGAGCUACCGUGCAUGCUACAGCCCUUGUCUCUUCUCAGCUUUGGGGGACCCAACACUCCAGGUUGGGCAGUUCUCUCCUCUUUCCUCCUGACCCCAGAGUCUCUUUCCUUUCUGCCACUGGGAGAGCAAACCCUCCUUCCCUGGGCCUAGACCUUUCAAAACAAUAGGCUGCUGGAGGGAUUAUCUGAGUGAAGAUAAGUUUUCUCUCUCUCCUCCCCUCCCUUCUUCUCCCCUUUCUUUUCUUUUGCCCUGAAACAAGAAGCUUGUUAACCAGACUUCUGAGGAUAAAGAGAGCCUGGACUCAAGAGCAAUCCCCAGGAGCCAGAGGAGCAAAGGGAGGAGGCCCAAGAGGAGAGUGGGGAUGCCUAGUUCAUGUCUGAGCCAGGACCAGCAUCCAGGUCUCGACUGCCACUCCCAGGAUCCUGCAUUUGGGAGCCCCCAGGUGAAUCAUGCUGUUAGACUGCCAAGUGGAGGGAUAGAGGCAAGGUCCUGCCUUCAAAGACAUGAAUGUCGCAUGGAAAGAACAGGGCAACACACACGAAUCCACUAUGGAGUAUCGUAAGCCAGUGUACCACUGAAGGCUCACGGAGCAUUUCUGAGGAACUCAGUAAAACGAAUAAUGAUUGUAGACUAUCGUUAGUCAAAUACAACUUAACUGGGAAAAUGGAACUGGACCAUGGUCUUGAAAAACAAGUGGAGCUAGAGAAUCAAUGUGAGGGCUGAGAUGAAGGUAUGCAGUUUGUCAACCUCCACAGUAUAAAAAAAAAGUAAGCAAAGAAAGUGAAGCAAAAGAAAACUCAGGAGUAUGAGGAGGAUCAGCACAGUGCAGUCAUGAAAACUAGCCAAGGCAAACCUGCCUAGCAGGAGGCCUGGCACAUUUUGGAUGUUCUUGACUUCUUUUUUCUUACCUUGCUGGCAGUCAGCAGAUACAUGGGAUCUUUGAACCCUCUAGAAUUACAUGCAUACAGCAUGGGUGAUUUGGGGUGAUGGUGUAUAAGUGCAUUAUAUGAAAUCAGGUCUGAGGUUUUCAUUAGGUUCUCAAUAUAUCUUGCUCUCCCUCUUCCAGGAAUAUAGUAGGAUUGCAUUUCUGAGCCUGUAUUAGUCCGUUUUUACACAGCUGAUAAAGACAUACCCAAGACUGAGUAGUUUAUAAGGAAAAAGGGGUUUAAUGGACUCACAGUUCCGCAUGGCUUGGGAGACCUCACAAUCAUGGUGGAAGGCAAAAGGCUUGUCUUAGAUGGCAGCAGAGCUCAGUGCCCCCUCUGUCACAAUGGCCAGCAAUGUUCCAGAUAGUGACCACUCACUCAGCUAGGGUUCCAGAGGGAGGAAGAUGCAGAGCAGAGCCCCAGCUGACCUGCAGUGGACAUAUGAGGCUGGAUGUCGGGCAGCUGAAGGGUGAUCAGUCUUCUGCUGGAAUUAAAGCCUGCUGUGAUGUUAAUGAAGAACCGCCAGUGGGUUUGCUGGAAGGGGGAAAUUUGGAGACAGACACAUACACAGGGAGAUGCCGUGUGAAGACUUGAGUUCUGCUGCCACAAGCCUAGGAACCAUUAGAAGCCAGGGAAGAGGCCUGGAACAGCUCCUUCCCCAGCACCUUCAGAGGGAGCAAGCCUCUACCAACAACCUGAUUUUGAACUCCUCGCCUCCAGAACUGUGAGACAAUAUAUUUCUGUUGUUUUAAGCCACCCAGCAUGUGGUACUUGGUUACAGCAGCCCUGGCAAACAAAUACAGGUUUGUAGGACUGUAUCUUUAGAGAUGAAAAGGAGAACCUCAAGCGGAAGGAAGAGCAUGAGCUUACUGGGGUAAGAAUAUGUAUUUAUAUAUUGAGUGCAUUCAGCAGUUCGGUUCUACUGGAACCACGGUCUGUAAAGGAGCCAUGUAUGGGAAGGUUAUUGUGGCCAAGUAACAGAGGCUUUGAAUGCUGGAAAAGACAUCUAAAUUUUGGAGCCAGGCACGGUGGCUCACGCAUGUAAUCCCAGCACUUUGAGAGACCGAAGCAGGUAGAUCACGAGGUCAAGAGAUAGAGAGUAUCCUGGCCAACAUGGUGAAACCCCUUCUCUACUAAGAAUACAAAAACUAGCUGGGCGUGGUGGCAUGCACCUGUAGUCCCAGCUACUUGGGAGGCUGAGGCAGGAGAAUCGCUUGAGCCUGGGAGGUGGAGGUUGCAGUGAGCCGAGAUUGCAGCACUGCACUCCAGCCUGGUGACAGAGCAAGACUCCAUCUAAAAAAAAAAAAAGACAUCUACAUUUUUAUCUGGCAGAGUUUGCUUCUUUUGUGUUAAUAUUUACUUCUAUCUAUCUUGGCCUAAAAUGAUUUGAGGUGGCUGACCUUAGCAUGUAGAUCAUGGGGAACCAGGUUGUGUGCCAGGAAGUGACUUGAUCGGCACCUGCACAGGAAGAUGAUCUCGGAUGCAACUCCUUGGAGAAACAGAGUCAAGCAGCAGCCCAGGUGAGAAGCUUGGCCAUCAUCUGAAAACUAUGCAAAGCAGGUCUGAACUAGGAAAAGGGCAGAAGGUCAGAGAAGAGGGGAUAAAGACAAGAGGUGAAAUGAUAGGUUGACCUGGCAAAUGCUUGCAUGACACAGGAAGAGAGAGAAAGGAAUUGAAUGGAACGUGGUCAACAUUUGAGCCUGGUGACUGUGAGGACAGUGGUGCCAUUUGCAGAUUUAGGAGGAAGCAUCACGUUGGGGAGGUGGAGGAGUUGGUUUUGUGCACAUUGACUCUGAGGUGGUGGAGGGGUCCAGCAGGCAGUUGGACUUAUGAGAAAAUGCACCAUUAUUCAUCCAAACAAGAUAAUUGAAUUUUUGAAGGCAGCUAAAAAAUAAUGGUUCUACGCUACAAGAAAUGAAGUGAAAUGGUAAAACAACAACAACGACAAAAAAACAUACACACACACACACAAAAAGCAAAAAACAAAAUAACCCACCCAAUUAAUCCAUUUGGAGGUUGUUCUCAUCUAGUGAAAUGUGUGUGUGUGUGUGUGGGUGUGUGUGCACUUCAGUACUGUUAACAAAGAAAAGGUCUGGUCAGUGGCAAAAACUACUUGAAUGCUGCUUUCAGCAAAGUCAUCCCUCUCUUCAGAAGGAUGAAGUACUCUUGUUUGUCAAGGAAGGUCCCUCUCAACUAGAAAAACAGCUGCAGGAACUCCAACCCAAGGUCCCCACAGCCCACAGGGGUGAUCUCUUGCUUUGCUCUCCUGGCUGUCUCAGGAAGCAGAAGUGGAAACAUUUGAGAUGACAGCAGCUCUGCUUUCUUUGUAGAGUUAAUUAGCUGGUGAAUACUGAGCUCUCCGACAGAGAGGAAGCUCGGGUUAUCAAAGUAUUAUUAAUUGAUGCAUCUGGAGAAAGAGAGAAGCAGCCCCAUCUGGACAGAGCUUGGAUUCUUUUAGCGCCAGAAUGGAAGAAAGCCCUUUUUAAAGUACAGUAAGAAAAGCCUGGUUCAGCUAAACAGUGAGGGGUAGUAGAAUCUAACUCGCACUCAACCCUACUUAACACCUUCCAUUCUUAAGUAUUUAUUAAGCCCGGUACAAGUGACAAAUACCACAUGUGAUCUGUUGUCACCAAAACUCAUUAAGACAAAUAAUAUUGAAUAAGAUCACACAGGAUGGCUUGCCAUCAGAACUACUUACUACUUCAGGCCGGGUGCCAUGGCUCAUGCCUGUAAUCCCAGCACUUUUGGUAGCUGAGGCAGGUGGGU
rnacentral:lncRNA from 1 species